CAAUAGCGUAUAUUAAAGUUGUUGCGGUUAAAAGCUCGUAGUUGGAUUUCUGCCGAGGACGUCCGGUCCGCCCUCUGGGUGAGUACAUGGCACGGCCUGGGCAUCUUCUUGGGGAACGUAUCUGCACUUGACUGUGUGGUGCGGUAUCCAGGACUUUUACUUUGAGGAAAUUAGAGUGUUUCAAGCAGGCACACGCCUUGAAUACAUUAGCAUGGAAUAAUAAGAUAGGACCUCGGUUUUAUUUUGUUGGUUUCUAGAGCUGAGGUAAUGAUUAAUAGGGAUAGUUGGGGGCAUUCGUAUUUAACUGUCAGAGGUGAAAUUCUUGGAUUUGUUAAAGACGGACUAACUGCGAAAGCAUUCGCCAAGGAUGUUUUCAUUGAUCAAUGAAACGAAAAGUUAAGGGGAUCGAAGACGAUCAGAU
rnacentral:rRNA from 1 species